UACGAAGGGGGCUAGCGUUGUUCGGAAUUAUUGGGCGUAAAGGGCGCGUAGGCGGCUUUUCAAGUGACGGGUGAAAGCCCUCGGCUUAACCGAGGAACUGCCUGUCAAACUGCAUGGCUUGAGACCGGGAGAGGUGAGUGGAAUUCCCAGUGUAGCGGUGAAAUGCGUAGAUAUUGGGAGGAACACCAGUGGCGAAGGCGGCUCACUGGACCGGUACUGACGCUGAUGCGCGAAAGCGUGGGGAGCAAACAGG
rnacentral:rRNA from 1 species